ensembl:snoRNA
UGGAUUGAUGAUGACUCCUGGUGCGUGUAUGAGUCUUAUACGAUGAAUACACAUCUGGAACUCUGAGAUCCAG